rnacentral:sRNA from 1 species
GUCGUGAGAUGUUGGGUUAAGUCCCGCAACGAGCGCAACCCCUGUUCUUAGUUACCAGCGCGUAAUGGCGGGGACUCUAGGAAGACUGCCGGUGCCAAACCGGAGGAAGGUGGGGACGACGUCAAGUCAUCAUGGUCCUUACGUCUAGGGCUACACACGUGCUACAAUGGGCCGGACAGUGGGGGCCGAGGCAGCAAUGCCAAGGCAAUCCCAAAACCGGUCCUCAGUUCGGAUUGUCGUCUGCAACUCGACGGCAUGAAGCUGGAAUCGCUAGUAAUCGUGGAUCAGCACCGCCACGGUGAAUACGUUCCCGGGCCUUGUACACACCGCCCGUCACGCCAUGGAAGUGGCGAGCGCCCGAAGUCCGUGUCGGAACCCGCAAGGGACCAAGCGGCCGAAGGCGAGCGUCAUGACUGGGGCGAAGUCGUAACAAGGUAGCCGUAGGGGAACCUGCGGCUGGAUCACCUCCUUAACGGAGAGAACCGAGUAGACUUAAGCGCAAGCCUAAGUUGAAAAGUCUCAACGAGUUCGCUCGUCUCGUAUCAUCCUUGAUCUCAGCAUCGAUUCUUCUAUUAUAAAGAAGACAACGUUCGACAGGUGUCGAAGCCUGGCGAACGCAUUUCGCGCCCUCGAUUAUGAGUCUCCGGACUCUUUCGGAGUGGCACAGUUGUUUGACAACGGAAGGUAGUAGUGAUCGUGGGAUUCGGACUUUGGGGCCUGAUAAGACCUCGAAGUCCAAGAAUCAACACUGAUUCAAUUUCGUCGUGACGCUGCUAUUGGUUUACCAGUAGUGGCAUAACGAGCAAGAUUGAUUCAUUCGUUAGAUUGCGCGUAGUAGGUAUGUGUUUGUUUGAGUCAGAAAUCUGAUCAAGCGAAAGAAUGUAUGCCGGGGAUGCCUGGGUACACGGAGGCGAUGAAGGCCGUGGUAAGCUGCGAUAAGCCAGGGGGAGCUGCACACAAGCUGUGAUCCCUGGAUGG